GAUGAACGCUGGCGGCGUGCCUAAUACAUGCAAGUCGAGCGAACAGACGAGGAGCUUGCUCCUCUGACGUUAGCGGCGGACGGGUGAGUAACACGUGGAUAACCUACCUAUAAGACUGGGAUAACUUCGGGAAACCGGAGCUAAUACCGGAUAAUAUAUUGAACCGCAUGGUUCAAUAGUGAAAGCCGGUUUUGCUGUCACUUAUAGAUGGAUCCGCGCCGCAUUAGCUAGUUGGUAAGGUAACGGCUUACCAAGGCAACGAUGCGUAGCCGACCUGAGAGGGUGAUCGGCCACACUGGAACUGAGACACGGUCCAGACUCCUACGGGAGGCAGCAGUAGGGAAUCUUCCGCAAUGGGCGAAAGCUUGACGGAGCAACGCCGCGUGAGUGAUGAAGGUCUUCGGAUCGUAAAACUCUGUUAUUAGGGAAGAACAAAUGUGUAAGUAACUAUGCACGUCUUGACGGUACCUAAUCAGAAAGCCACGGCUAACUACGU
rnacentral:rRNA from 1 species